rnacentral:rRNA from 1 species
AUUGAACGCUGACGGAAUGCUUUACACAUGCAAGUCGAACGGCAGCACGGACUUCGGUCUGGUGGCGAGUGGCGAACGGGUGAGUAAUGUAUCGGAACGUGCCCAGUCGUGGGGGAUAACGUAGUGAAAAUUACGCCAAUACCGCAUACGAUCUAUGGUUGAAAGCGGGGGAUCGCAAGACCUCGCGCGAUUGGAGAGGCCGAUAUCAGAUUAGGUAGGUGGUGGGGUAAAGGCCCACCAAGCCAACGAUCUGUAGCUGGUCUGAGAGGACGACCAGCCACACUGGAACUGAUACACGGUCCAGACUCCUACGGGAGGCAGCAGUGGGGAAUUUUGGACAAUGGGCGAAAGCCUGAUCCAGCCAUUCCGCGUGCAGGAUGAAGGCCCUCGGGUUGUAAACUGCUUUUGUACAGAACGAAAAGGUUUCUACUAAUACUAGGAGCUCAUGACGGUACUGUAAGAAUAAGCACCGGCUAACUACGUGCCAGCCGCCGCAGUAA